CCCGCCUUAGCUCAGCGGUAGAGCAACCGGCUGUAGACCGGUUGGUCGGGAGUUCAAAUCUCCCAGGCGGGA
rnacentral:tRNA from 1 species